rnacentral:lncRNA from 1 species
AGAUGUUUUGGUUGUUUUCAAGGAUUUGACAAGUUGUAGAAUGGUUAAAGUACUUGAUUUGAAUGAAAGGGGAGGGGGAGGUAACGAAGGAGUAACUGUUGGCAGUAGGACUGUAAUGGAGGCGAGACCUAAGAAUGGGAUGGGAGAUUUGGAGCUUGUGGAGGGCAUUUUUAAGAUGUGAAACGUCGGGGUUUUUGGAAGAAAUGAUAGCCAAGACGGCUAUCCCGGUUCCCCCGACCACCGCUCGGCACCAGUUGUGCUCGGUGCCGCCAACUGCUCGACUUUGGGUGGACAUGUAUGUAGUAAUGAU